CCAGGCUGUUUCUUCCUCACAGGGUUCCUCUGGCCAGGAAUGUUGAAAUCAAUAUUAACACAGCUUGACCACACUCUCACGCAGAUGGGAACAGUGGCAGCCAUGUUUGUGUCUUUUCGCCUCUCAAAGCUUUACUCCAGUCUCCGGAGAGGCUGGACCAACACAGCCUAUUCAGGAUAAAGGCAGAAGUAUACAAAACAAGCACAUGAACACAGAGCACACAUUGACCAGUAUAGAGCCCAGCUUUCACCCUGCAUGUUUUGUCCCUGACUGUGAACUGUUUAUACAAUGUAACACACUGUGUGUGUGUGUGUGUGUGUGUGUGUGUGUGUGUGUGUGUGUGUGUG
ensembl:lncRNA